CCACCUGGUACAGCAAUAACUUCUCAGAUAUCCGCCAUUUUGUUAUCGAUUCGGAAGCACUGGUUUAGGAGACACCAUGUCAAAGCCCCACGGAGAGUGUUCUGUUGUUGGCUGUAAAGACGAGCACAAAACACUCCAUUAUGUCCCAGCCGCAGAGGACAGAAGAGCGACAUGGCUCUAAAUUCAUUUUUGAAG